rfam:Homo sapiens chromosome 17, GRCh38 reference primary assembly.
GGUAAACGGGAAGAGGGGCCAGCCCUAGGCCCCUCCAAACAAUGGGGCA